rnacentral:rRNA from 1 species
UAAUACGUAGGGAGCGAGCGUUGUCCGGAAUGAUUGGGCGUAAAGGGCGUGUAGGCGGCCGUUUAAGUCUGGAGUGAAAUUCCUGUUUUUAAGGUAGGAACUGCUUUGGAAACUGGACGGCUUGAGUGCAGGAGAGGUUAUCGGAAUUCCCGGUGUAGCGGUGAAAUGCGUAGAGAUCGGGAGGAACACCAGUGGCGAAGGCGGGUAACUGGACUGCAACUGACGCUGAGGCGCGAAAGUGUGGGGAGCAAACAGG